CUUGUACUCCCUCCAUCCGGAAAUACUUGUCAUUGAAAUGGAUGUAUCUAGAUGUAUUUUAGUUCUAGACACAUCCAUUUUGAUGACAAGUAAUUCUGGACAGAGGGAGUACUUC
rnacentral:pre_miRNA from 1 species